rnacentral:rRNA from 1 species
UACGGGGGGAGCAAGCGUUGUUCGGAUUUACUGGGCGUAAAGGGCGCGUAGGCGGUCAGCACAAGUCAGUUGUGAAAUCUCCGGGCUUAACUCGGAAAGGUCAACUGAUACUGUGCGACUAGAGUGCAGAAGGGGCAACUGGAAUUCUCGGUGUAGCGGUGAAAUGCGUAGAUAUCGAGAGGAACACCUGCGGCGAAGGCGGGUUGCUGGGCUGACACGAUGUGCUGAUGCGCGAAAGCCAGGGGAGGCGAACGGG